GCUGGGCAUGGUGGUGCGUGCCUGUAGUCCCAGCUACUCAGGAGGCUGAGGCAGGAGAAUUGCUUGAACCCAGGAAGCAGAGGUUGCAGUGAGCUGAGAUCGCACCACUGCACUCCAGCCUGGGUGACAGAGCAAAACUCUGUCUCAA
rnacentral:SRP_RNA from 1 species